rnacentral:rRNA from 1 species
GAUGAACGCUGGCGGCGUGCCUAACACAUGCAAGUCGAACGGAGUUUACUCGCUGACGAAACUUCGGCCAAAUCUUGAUUAAACUUAGUGGCGGACGGGUGAGUAACGCGUGGGCAACCUGCCUCAUACUGGGGGAUAGCAGUUGGAAACGACUGAUAAUACCGCAUAAGCGCACGAGAUCGCAUGAUCCAGUGUGAAAAACUCCGGUGGUAUGAGAUGGGCCCGCGUCAGAUUAGCUAGUUGGUAAGGUAACGGCUUACCAAGGCGACGAUCUGUAGCCGGACUGAGAGGUCGGACGGCCACAUUGGGACUGAGACACGGCCCAAACUCCUACGGGAGGCAGCAGUGGGGGAUAUUGCACAAUGGAGGAAACUCUGAUGCAGCGACGCCGCGUGAGUGAAGAAGUAUUUCGGUAUGUAAAGCUCUAUCAGCAGGGAAGAAAGGCUCGUAAGAGAGAUGACGUAC